UUAGAGUCAACCCAGGACAUUGCAAAAACAGGCAAAAAGACAUCACAAUAAAACACUGCUAAUCUGAAUGUCCCCCAAGAUUCAUGUGUUGAAACUUAAUCACCAAGGACACAGCACCUCUGCCCUCUGAAGGAGGCAGCACCAAAACAACAUCUUGGAAGCAGAGAGGAGCCCUCACCAGUUGCUGGACCUGAUUAUGUCUUGGUCUUCAGUUUUCCAGACUUCAGAACUACAAAGAUGCUAACACUGAAAAGUCAGAUGCAAAAUUCACACUGAUGCAGCUCUGCUCUUCUGAAGCCCACAGUACACUGACGUGUGGUGUAUGUCCAAUGUGAGAACAUCAAGCUAGACAUCUUCUCAAAACCCAACUGAGUGUGGAAUACAUAUCCUCUUACUUCCUAGCUUCAGCAAGUUUGUAGGCUUCUGGGAAUUUAUGUUCAGAUCUCCAAAAAUGCCUAUCCAUUUUGAAUCUACAUUUUGUUUACUAACCAAUCAGGUUGUUUACAGCUAUAAAUUCAUCAUACAGUCUAUUCAUGUCUAAAAUAUCUACUGUUUUAUAAAACUUUUCAUUCUGAAAUUUUAUAGAAAAGGCUGCAAAGAAAUGUACCAGGAAGUCUUAUGCCCCUUGCACCCAGCUUCCCCCAGUGUUAACAUUUUACAUGAGUCUAGAACAAUCCCAAAACUAAGAAAAUGGCCUUAGCAUAAUCUAAACGCAGUACUCAGAUUUCAUCAGUCAAACAUGCACUUGUGUGUGUGCAUCUACAAAAUUUUAUCAGUACUGUGUAGUCUUGUGUAACAACAACCACUACCAUCAACACAUUCAACUGUACAUUACCAGAACACUCCUUUGUCACCCAUGUAGCCACACCCAUCUCCUCCCCAAAUCUCUAACCUCUUGUAGCUAUUAAUCUGUUUUCCAUCUCUAUAAUUAUGGUUCCUAAUAAAUGUUAAAUAAAUGAAAUCAUAUAGUAUGUCACUAUUUGGAAUUGGCUUUUUUUUUUUUUUAACUUGGCAUGAUUUACUGAGGGCUUAUACAAGCUGCUGCAUGUGUCAGUGGUCUGUUUUUUUGUUUGUUUGUUUGUUUGUUUUUAUCAGAGCAGUGUUCCAUGGUACAGAUAUAUCAGUUUGUUUAACCAUUCAUCCCUCUGAAAGACAUUCCAGUAGUUUCCAAAUUUUUGCUAUUACGAAAAUGCUGAAACAUACACCCAUGGGAAA